GUGCUCAAUUCAGCAGUACAUAUACUAACACUGGAACGAUACAGAGAAGAUUAGCAUGGCCCUUGCGCAAGGAUGACAAAUUCGUGAACCGAUUCAUAUUUUU